rnacentral:rRNA from 1 species
UACAGAGGUCUCAAGCGUUGUUCGGAUUCAUUGGGCGUAAAGGGCGCGUAGGCGGCCCGCUAAGUCGAACGUGAAAUCCCCGAGCUCAACUCGGGAACUGCGUCCGAUACUGGCGGGCUUGAAUCCGGGAGAGGGAUGCGGAAUUCCAGGUGUAGCGGUGAAAUGCGUAGAUAUCGUAAGGAAGACCAGUGGCGAAGGCGGGUCUCUGGACAGUUCCUGACGCUGAGGGCACGAAGGUCAGGGGGAGCAAACGGG